AUUGAACGCUGGCGGCAGGCCUAACACAUGCAAGUCGAGCGGAGCGGCGGACGGGUGAGUAAUGCCUAGGAAUCUGCCUGGUAGUGGGGGAUAACGUCCGGAAACGGGCGCUAAUACCGCAUACUAUCAGAUGAGCCUAGGUCGGUUUAGCUAGUAGGUGGGGUGAAGGAGCACCUAGGCGACGAUCCCUAGCUGGUCUGAGAGGAUGACCAGCCACACGGUAACUGAGACACGGGCCAGAUUCGUACGGGAGGCAGCAGUGGGGAAUAUUGCACAUGGGGCGCAAGCUUGAGGCAGCCAUGCCGCGGGUAUGAAGAAGGCCUUCGGGUUGUAAAGUACUUUCAGCGGGGAGGCGUUACCCGCAGAAGAAGCACCGGCUAACUCCGUGCCAGCAGCCGCGGUAAUUC
rnacentral:rRNA from 1 species